rnacentral:rRNA from 1 species
GUGACUCCUACGGGAGGCAGCAGUGGGGAAUAUUGCACAAUGGGGGAAACCCUGAUGCAGCCAUGCCGCGUGUGUGAAGAAGGCCUUCGGGUUGUAAAGCACUUUCAGUAGGGAGGAAGGUAGUGUAGUUAACACCUGCACUAUUUGACGUUACCUACAGAAGAAGCACCGGCUAACUCCGUGCCAGCAGCCGCGGUAAUACGGAGGGUGCGAGCGUUAAUCGGAAUUACUGGGCGUAAAGCGCAUGCAGGCGGCCUGUUAAGUCAGAUGUGAAAGCCCGGGGCUUAACCUCGGAAUUGCAUUUGAAACUGGCAGGCUAGAGUCUUGUAGAGGGGGUAGAAUUUCAGGUGUAGCGGUGAAAUGCGUAGAGAUCUGAAGGAAUACCAGUGGCGAAGGCGGCCCCCUGGACAAAGACUGACGCUCAGAUGCGAAAGCGUGGGGAGCAAACAGGAUUAGAUACCCUGGUAG